AUCUUCAUUAGCUUGCUUUUGAAGAUCAGCGGCGGACGGGUGAGUAACACGUGGGCAACCUGCCUGUAAGACUGGGAUAACUUCGGGAAACCGGAGCUAAUACCGGAUAAUCCUUUCCCUCACAUGAGGGAAAGCUGAAAGACGGUUUCGGCUGUCACUUACAGAUGGGCCCGCGGCGCAUUAGCUAGUUGGUGAGGUAACGGCUCACCAAGGCAACGAUGCGUAGCCGACCUGAGAGGGUGAUCGGCCACACUGGGACUGAGACACGGCCCAGACUCCUACGGGAGGCAGCAGUAGGGAAUCUUCCGCAAUGGACGAAAGUCUGACGGAGCAACGCCGCGUGAACGAUGAAGGCUUUCGGGUCGUAAAGUUCUGUUGUCAGGGAAGAACAAGUACCGGAGUAACUGCCGGUACCUUGACGGUACCUGACCAGAAAGCCACGGCUAACUACGUGCCAGCAGCCGCGGUAAUACGUAGGUGGCAAGCGUUGUCCGGAAUUAUUGGGCGUAAAGCGCGCGCAGGCGGUUCCUUAAGUCUGAUGUGAAAGCCCCCGGCUCAAC
rnacentral:rRNA from 1 species